GAAGGAUCAUUAAAGAUUAUGAAUGAAUAGAUUACUGGGGGAAUCGUCUGAACAAGGCUGCGCUUAAUUGCGCGGCCAGUUCUUGAUUCUCUGCUAUCAGUUUUCUAUUUCUCAUCCUAAACACAAUGGGAGUUUUUUCUCUAUGAACUACUUCCCUGGAGAGCUCGUCUCUCCAGUGGACAUAAACACAAACAAUAUUUUGUAUUAUGAAAAACUAUUAUACUAUAAAAUUUAAUAUUCAAAACUUUCAACAACGGAUCUCUUGGUUCUCGCAUCGAUGAAGAACGCAGCGAAUUGCGAUAUGUAUUGUGAAUUGCAGAUUUUCGUGAAUCAUCAAAUCUUUGAACGCACAUUGCGCCCUCUGGUAUUCCAGGGGGCAUGCCUGUUUGAGCGUCAUUUCUCUCUCAAACCUUUGGGUUUGGUAGUGAGUGAUACUCGUCUCGGGUUAACUUGAAAGUGGCUAGCCGUUGCCAUCUGCGUGAGCAGGGCUGCGUGUCAAGUCUAUGGACUCGACUCUUGCACAUCUACGUCUUAGGUUUGCGCCGAAUUCGUGGUAAGCUUGGGUCAUAGAGACUCAUAGGUGUUAUAAAGACUCGCUGGUGUUUGUCUCCUUGAGGCAUACGGCUUUAACCAAAACUCUCAAAGUUGACCUCAAAUCAGGUAGGAGUACCCGCUGAACUUAAGCAUAUCAAUAAGCGGAGGAAAAGAAACCCAACCGGGAUUGCAUUAGUAACGGCGAGUGAAGCGGCAAAAGCUCAAAUUUGAAAUCUGGCGUCUUCGACGUCCGAGUUGUAAUUUGAAGAAGGCGACUUUGUAGCUGGUCCUUGUCUAUGUUCCUUGGAACAGGACGUCAUAGAGGGUGAGAAUCCCGUGUGGCGAGGAUCCCAGUUAUUUGUAAAGUGCUUUCGACGAGUCGAGUUGUUUGGGAAUGCAGCUCUAAGUGGGUGGUAAAUUCCAUCUAAAGCUAAAUAUUGGCGAGAGACCGAUAGCGAACAAGUACAGUGAUGGAAAGAUGAAAAGAACUUUGAAAAGAGAGUGAAAAAGUACGUGAAAUUGUUGAAAGGGAAGGGCAUUUGAUCAGACAUGGCGUUUGCUUCGGCUUUCGCUGGGCCAGCAUCAGUUUUAGCGGUUGGAUAAAUCCUCGGGAAUGUGGCUCUGCUUCGGUAGAGUGUUAUAGCCCGUGGGAAUACAGCCAGCUGGGACUGAGGAUUUAUUGCGACUUUUGUCAAGGAUGCUGGCGUAAUGGUUAAAUGCCGCCCGUCCGA
rnacentral:rRNA from 1 species